rnacentral:rRNA from 1 species
CACUUGCUGCUUCGCUGACGAGUGGCGGACGGGUGAGUAAUGUCUGGGAAACUGCCUGAUGGAGGGGGAUAACUACUGGAAACGGUAGCUAAUACCGCAUAACGUCGCAAGACCAAAGAGGGGGACCUUCGGGCCUCUUGCCAUCGGAUGUGCCCAGAUGGGAUUAGCUAGUAGGUGGGGUAACGGCUCACCUAGGCGACGAUCCCUAGCUGGUCUGAGAGGAUGACCAGCCACACUGGAACUGAGACACGGUCCAGACUCCUACGGGAGGCAGCAGUGGGGAAUAUUGCACAAUGGGCGCAAGCCUGAUGCAGCCAUGCCGCGUGUAUGAAGAAGGCCUUCGGGUUGUAAAGUACUUUCAGCGGGGAGGAAGGCGAUAAGGUUAAUAACCUUGUCGAUUGACGUUACCCGCAGAAGAAGCACCGGCUAACUCCGUGCCAGCAGCCGCGGUAAUACGGAGGGUGCAAGCGUUAAUCGGAAUUACUGGGCGUAAAGCGCACGCAGGCGGUCUGUCAAGUCGGAUGUGAAAUCCCCGGGCUCAACCUGGGAACUGCAUUCGAAACUGGCAGGCUAGAGUCUUGUAGAGGGGGGUAGAAUUCCAGGUGUAGCGGUGAAAUGCGUAGAGAUCUGGAGGAAUACCGGUGGCGAAGGCGGCCCCCUGGACAAAGACUGACGCUCAGGU